rnacentral:rRNA from 1 species
UGUAGCGGGGGAUAACUAUUGGAAACGAUAGCUAAUACCGCAUAACAAUGGAUGACCCAUGUCAUUUAUUUGAAAGGGGCAAAUGCUCCACUACAAGAUGGACCUGCGUUGUAUUAGCUAGUAGGUGAGGUAACGGCUCACCUAGGCGACGAUACAUAGCCGACCUGAGAGGGUGAUCGGCCACACUGGGACUGAGACACGGCCCAGACUCCUACGGGAGGCAGCAGUAGGGAAUCUUCGGCAAUGGGGGCAACCCUGACCGAGCAACGCCGCGUGAGUGAAGAAGGUUUUCGGAUCGUAAAGCUCUGUUGUAAGUCAAGAACGAGUGUGAGAGUGGAAAGUUCACACUGUGACGGUAGCUUACCAGAAAGGGACGGCUAACUACGUGCCAGCAGCCGCGGUAAUACGUAGGUCCCGAGCGUUGUCCGGAUUUAUUGGGCGUAAAGCGAGCGCAGGCGGUUUGAUAAGUCUGAAGUUAAAGGCUGUGGCUCAACCAUAGUUCGCUUUGGAAACUGUCAAACUUGAGUGCAGAAGGGGAGAGUGGAAUUCCAUGUGUAGCGGUGAAAUGCGUAGAUAUAUGGAGGAAC